GCCAACGUCGUGUAGUGGUUUGAGUGCUGGACUAUGACUCUGGAGACCAGGGUUCGAUUCCCGGCUCAGCCA
rnacentral:tRNA from 1 species